UACGUAGGGACCAAGCGUUGUUCGGAUUUACUGGGCGUAAAGGGCGCGUAGGCGGCAAUUCAAGUCAUCUGUGAAAUCUCCGGGCUUAACCCGGAACGGUCAGAUGAUACUGCUUUGCUAGAGUGCAGAAGGGGCAAUCGGAAUUCUUGGUGUAGCGGUGAAAUGCGUAGAGAUCGGGAAGAACAUCAGUGGCGAAGGCGGCCUGCUGGGCUGUUGCUGACGCUGAGGCGCGACAGCGUGGGGAGCAAACAGG
rnacentral:rRNA from 1 species